CUUUAGGUUGUGGACCAUUGGCUGGAUGUACUUUAGGUUGUGUCCCAUUGGCUGGAUGUACUUUAGGCUGUGUCCCAUUGGCUGGAUGUACUUUAGGUUGUGUCCCAUUGGCUGAAUGUACUUUAGGUUGUGGACCAUUGGCUGGAUGUAC